rnacentral:rRNA from 1 species
GAUGAACGCUGGCGGCGUGCCUAAUACAUGCAAGUCGAGCGAACAGACGAGGAGCUUGCUCCUCUGACGUUAGCGGCGGACGGGUGAGUAACACGUGGAUAACCUACCUAUAAGACUGGGAUAACUUCGGGAAACCGGAGCUAAUACCGGAUAAUAUGUUGAACCGCAUGGUUCAACAGUGAAAGACGGUUUUGCUGUCACUUAUAGAUGGAUCCGCGCCGCAUUAGCUAGUUGGUAAGGUAACGGCUUACCAAGGCAACGAUUCGUAGCCGACCUGAGAGGGUGAUUCGCCACACUGGAAACGAAACACGGUCCAGACUCCUAAGGGAGGCAGGAGUAGGGAAUCUUCCACAAUGGGCGAAAGCCUUAACGAGCAACCCCGCGUGAGGGAUGAAGGUUUUCGGGUUGUAAAACCCUGUUAUUAGGGAAGAAAAAAAGUGGAAGUAACUAUGCACGUCUUGACGGUACCUAAUCAGAAAGCCACGGCUAACUACGUG